AUUGGUCUGACUUGAAGUGCAAAGCUGUUAUUUUGAUUCAUUAUUUGUUCUUUUCUGAACAUUGAAGAAAUGUCCAAUUAACCCUUGUACCAAACCAGCACAUUUCUUUUCCGGAUUGCAGGUAUCCGGCAAUACCGUAGCAGCACAAGGCACCAGGCAGGAACCAACCCUGGAUAAGGCGCUGGUCUACUGCAGGACAAGGGCCCACACACAAGCACACUCAAGAGUUGUUUCUAGGCCUAUUGUGCAUAGCUGUGUGAUUUGGGUGAAAAACUGGAAUACUUGGUUAAAAUCCCAGACAUGCGAUCAAGUGGACCAGUUUCAUCUGAAGUCUCCUUCACUUAAAAACCAAGAAUAGCCUUUUACAAAUAUGUCAACCCUGCGGAAGUCACCUUAUGUAGCCCCGAUAAAAGACCAACUGCAGGUACCUGAAACGAUGAGGAAACAUAAUGUAACUGUUUGGGAAGUCUUGUUAACAUCCACUGUGUCUGACAUCUUCUCAAAAUGCUAAGAACAGAAGCAAAGAGUGAAAAUAAGAAUUAUGUUCUGAUUAAGAAGCAAACUUCAGCAAAACUGAGUAUGUAUAUCCUCAAUAAUGGAGUUGGAACUUGAGAACCACCACUAGAGGAGGUGAGUGUUCACUGAAGUCAAAGUCGUCAUCAUCU